CAACUAUCAGCAAUGAGAGAUCAAGCUCCCAUCUUCUCCUGUAGGCCAAAGCACCAAGAACACCAGGGCUUAUCAUCUACCCAGUGCUUACAAUGCUCUGAAGUUACCUGUUUGUCACUUUGCCUGGGUGUUCAAGGACUGCAUUACAGAACAUAAACCCACAAGGGCAGAGACCUGUGUGCCCUCGCUUCUGCACAUUCUGUAUUUCCACCACCUUGCUUGGGCACAUUCAAUCAGAAGUUACUGAACGAAUGCAUGUAAGGAUAUACUGACAUCAAGUCCAAUGGUCUAUUUAUCAGACAAAAAGCCAUCAAUGUGCAAAAUAUUAAAAAAUUACCUAAACCUAA